AACGAACGCUGGCGGCAGGCCUAACACAUGCAAGUCGAGCGCUCACUUCGGUGGGAGCGGCGGACGGGUUAGUAACGCGUGGGAACGUGCCCAGAUCUAAGGAAUAGCCACUGGAAACGGUGAGUAAUACCUUAUACGCCCUUCGGGGGAAAGAUUUAUCGGAUUUGGAUCGGCCCGCGUUAGAUUAGAUAGUUGGUGGGGUAACGGCCUACCAAGUCUACGAUCUAUAGCUGGUUUUAGAGGAUGAUCAGCAACACUGGGACUGAGACACGGCCCAGACUCCUACGGGAGGCAGCAGUGGGGAAUCUUGGACAAUGGGCGCAACCCUGAUCCAGCCAUGCCGCGUGAGUGAUGAAGGCUUGGUCGUAAAGUUCUGUUCUUGGGGAA
rnacentral:rRNA from 1 species